CACCUGUGAUGAAAAGAUUCUGCCAAAUGAUUUUGAUGAUUAUAACAUUUACCGUUCCAUUUAUUCUGAGGUU
ensembl:snoRNA